ACACGUGCUGAUUCGGGUGUAAAAAAGACUAAGAAGUUAGGCUUCAGCUAUGACCCAGCUCAGACAAUCAUCGCUCCUCAUGAUUCACGAACAAAGCAAAAGAGCAUCCAUCAAAACUACUGUCAAGAAAAAGUUUCCAUUCUGGGCUUGAUUCGUCUGCUUGGAAUCCAGACUGUCCAUCAUCUGUCAAAACACAAGCAAAAACUCACCCCACACCUUUGCCCGUCCUUCUUUCCGUUUAUUUUCUGUAUCAUCUUUCCACCAGAUAGGCUGGUGAGGGAAAGAGUCAAAAAUUUAAAGUAAAUAAGUCUUGAUUUAUUCUAUCUCUGAGAGACUGUCUACCUCCCCCUUCUUGUUUAAAUAAGCCGGUGGAUCUGUAAAGAACUCAGCCAAACAGGAGUAUAAAUGUGAAAGUACAUGUGUAACAGUUUCU